GACGAACGCUGGCGGCGUGCCUAAUACAUGCAAGUAGAACGCUGAAGAGAGGAGCUUGCUCUUCUUGGAUGAGUUGCGAACGGGUGAGUAACGCGUAGGUAACCUGCCUUGUAGCGGGGGAUAACUAUUGGAAACGAUAGCUAAUACCGCAUAACAAUGGAUGACACAUGUCAUUUAUUUGAAAGGGGCAAUUGCUCCACUACAAGAUGGACCUGCGUUGUAUUAGCUAGUAGGUGAGGUAAUGGCUCACCUAGGCGACGAUACAUAGCCGACCUGAGAGGGUGAUCGGCCACACUGGGACUGAGACACGGCCCAGACUCCUACGGGAGGCAGCAGUAGGGAAUCUUCGGCAAUGCGGGCAACCCUGACCGAGCAACGCCGCGUGAGUGAAGAAGGUUGUCGGAUCGUAAAGCUCUGUUGUAAGUCAAGAACGGGUGUGAGAGUGGAAAGUUCACACUGUGACGGUAGCUUACCAGAAAGGGACGGCUAACUACGUG
rnacentral:rRNA from 1 species